UGUAAUGGCUGUUUGUUGGACAAAGUGGCAGCGACUAAUGGUGAGCGAACACAAACUUUUGACAUGGCCAACUGGCAUGUGACAGUUCCCCUUAAACGAAAUGUUUCAAAUGCCCUUCUUCUUAGUCUCCAUAGUUUCCUCCUCUCUAAGAUCCCCCAGCAGUGAACUCUCAUGUAUCACAGAAGCGUAGAGAUUCGCAAAUGCCCCGUAUCGAAGACCAACCGCUUCUAUGUCUCUCACCAGGCUUGAAGCCCAGCCAAUCUUUUCCCUUCCCAUAACCCCGGGGCCUAGAUAGCUUCGAACGUUCACGCGUUCCUUCUGGGGGGCGGUCCUUCAUGCCAACAAACCCUGUUUCUUGCCUUCUUUCCAUCCUCGCCCUCAACGAUUGAAGCACGUCAAGUGACCGGCAACGGUCGGCAAGUUUCAGUCUAAGGCAGCGCAGGCAACUCGGAUUGAGCAACCAAGCCUGAGUUAGGCGACCGCAUUUAAGUAAAAGCAAACUGACUCUUUCUGUGGGGCGAACUGCAAAAGACGAAAGUAAGGAGUCUCAGGAGCGGUUCUCGCGGCAACAACAAGAGACGGACUGAGAAAAAGGAGAGUGGCGGAAAAACAAGCGAAACAGCCUGCGAGCGGAGUGUCAUGAAGCUGCUAUUACGAUUUUUUUUUUGCCUGAUGUGCACUAGUCACCCCGAACGGUGUAACGGUAGCACAAAGCCCACAGUAACACCGGCCAAGUGCACGAUGUUAAGCGGGGGCGCGCAGCCGAGAUGAGUUAUUAGUGUACAGCCACAAGAGUAGCGAACGCGGUAAACGAGGCGGCGUACUGAAAAAAGGACACGAGCCAUCCAGCCAGUAGAAACAGCAGUAGAACAACGUCGAAUUGUAUGAGGUCUGGGAAUAACUUGGGUACACGACUCAUAUAACCCACUUACGACGAGAGUAGAGAAGGAAGCAGAAAGCAAGAGAGAAAGAAUAGCUUGAGAUGAAUCAUGUUAGACAGUAGGGAUAAAAUAGGUGAAAUGAAGGCAGUUACAUAUGGGAUCGACGAUGCAUGGACAAAGAAAAAUGGGCUUGGCCUGGUGGGCCCUUUGGGUGGGGUGGUGCCCAAGCGGUGCUGCGAGGAUACACUUGAAGUAGAGAUCGUUUUUUAUUGAAACGCUAAAGGCCCACAACCCUCAAACUCAUACUGCAGAUCACUGUUUGCUUCUAUCUAGGCAGAUCAAGUCGUUUCGAGACUUAGUGUUUUUACUGUGUCGACAUCGGGGGCUAGACUUAGCGCCAUUUUGUCGCGGUAAGUAAUUCACAACUUACCACAAACAUGUUUGCGCCAAACACGACACAUAAAAGUGAAUCAGUGGUACGUAGGGAUAGAAAGUUUAAGGACUGUAGGCGACUAGACGCCAUGAUAUGUCUUCAAGUCAAAUCGACAACAUUCACCCAAAAACGCCGUCAAGUAGAGCUGGCACACGAAGGCCAAGGUUCCGAAGCAAAAGAUACUUGUCUAGUCGGAAUGGGUCUUGUGAAGAGAAUAUAAAUGUACUCGAGAAGUGUGGCACAUUAGCCAGAGAUAACCAGCAAUCAGUUUUACAACAUAAAGAACAGCAGAAAAAGAAAAACGAACAGGAAAGGUCCGAAGUUGCUAGGACACAGUGUGUGUGUGUUGUUUACCGUCCUAUUCUUCCGAUUGCUGUUUCUGGGCGAACUAAUGUUCCACGAGCUCGUGGCUGAUGACAGCGGUAUGCGUAAGGAUCCGAAAUGCGUUUGCAUGUUAGGAAAGAACCACAGUGUGGCAGUAAGACUGAAGAGGAGGACCUUCAGUAUCGGAAUACGCCGAAAGCCCAUAUCGAAAUGGUUAGUGCUUACUUUAGUUGUAAAAUCCACAUGGACCUUGAGGUAGACUGCUUUUCUUGUAGUCUUUCCGCUUACAGCUUGAUUCUUUUCACGGUCCCACGAGUGUAUGUUGGUCAAGUAGAAGACAAGAGUGUACCAAGGUGCUGCUUUCUCGUAAAUUGCGUGCGUCCGUCCCCAUUGUUCCCUAUAGACAGCGAUGAUGACUGGCUUUCCGCCGGCAAACCAAUAGAAGGAACAGUUGUUGAUACAACUCGGGUAAUGCCGACCUGACCAGAGACCUGCGUGCCACAGGCGUGGUCAAGUACACGAAUCUGUACUCAACACCAUACACGAGGCGGUUCUAGUCCACCGACAGUUGUUUUAGGGGACCGACGAAUGAUAGGCUGCACACAAAGCACUAAUCGCUGCACAUAUUUACGAGAAUGACUAACGUUUGCAGCCCAAGAUGGAAAAGACAAGCUGACGUUCUAUGGACCAGGGUGGAUCAGGCCAGACCAGCAGCUUGUCGUCGCGGUAUUCCAAGAGUCGUCUAACGCGUCAUAUACUUGUGAGGACAUAGUGCAACUCGACAAAGUGCUAAGCGUAUCGAAUAAGAAGAAAAGUCCUCUUCCAGUGGGUUCUUGCGCCUUUACUGGGUACCCCAGCACAUCGCUUCUCGCUCGCCUGUAACGAUCCUCGUCAAUGUUACUCACCACAAACCGAACGGUGUUCACAGUCAACGACCCGCUAUUGGCCAGUUGCCUAUGCAACUUUUUUCAUCUGCAACGAACUCUUCGUCGUCGUGCAUUUUAGAGUAACGGAAGAGCUGCGACGGCGACGCCAACGAAUCGGGACCACUGUCCGGAGGGAGCCCUGCGCCUACGUUUUUACUAAAUAGCGUUUGUUUAACUUCCAUUUGCCAGGAACCGUCACUGCCGCUAUUGCGACUAUGAGGUAACGUUUACAAAGUAAAUCGCUGUUCCUACCAUUGUAGUCGGUAUUGCGCAACGUCGACAAAGCUAAGAACACUGUUUCGUCACGAAACGACGCUAUCGUGUCUCUGCGAGAGUGUAGAUGUCUUUGUUGUGCGUCCGUACCCCUCAGGAUGAUGCCCUUCCGUGCCCCAGGAUGAUGUCUUACACCGUUAUUACUUUGAUCCGUACUAAGUCCAGGCUGUCCCCGAACAAGCUGCUUCUCUUAUUUUCGAUACAUGUAUACCUGAUUUAGUACGGCAAAUCUUUAGGAGCCGUCUGUAUUUUAGUUGACUUUAGUUUAAAUUAUUAGACCUUGGUAAUUUAAGUUAGACAUUAGGUAGGUAGAUAGAUAUGGUACAUACAAAAAAGCCUGUUCUAGUUUCUAGAUUGCCGUCCCAUUAUGGACAAAAAAGAAAGGUCGCACGAGACAA